rnacentral:pre_miRNA from 1 species
AUGUUAGUGUCGACAGUGUGUUUGAUUCAGGCAUUAGCUUGUCCAAACAUAGAGCAAGCCUACGCCCGAAUCAAACACAUUGUCGAGAACGCUAGCA